rnacentral:rRNA from 1 species
UACGGAGGGUGCAAGCGUUAUCCGGAUUCACUGGGUUUAAAGGGUGCGUAGGUGGGUAAGUAAGUCAGUGGUGAAAUCUCCGGGCUUAACCCGGAAACUGCCAUUGAUACUAUUUGUCUUGAAUACUGUGGAGGUCAGCGGAAUAUGUCAUGUAGCGGUGAAAUGCUUAGAUAUGACAUAGAACACCAAUUGCGAAGGCAGCUGGCUAGACCUGGAUUGACGCUGAGGCACGAAAGCGUGGGGAGCGAACAGG